rnacentral:tRNA from 1 species
UCUCUGGUGGUCCAAUGGCUAAGACUCUACUCUUGCAAUGGAGGGGGCCCAGGUUCAAUCCCUGGUCGGUGAA